rnacentral:rRNA from 1 species
AGCAGCCGCGGUAAUUCCAGCUCCAAUAGCGUAUAUUAAAGUUGUUGCAGUUAAAAAGCUCGUAGUUGAAUUUCGGGAUUGGCGCAUCGGUCGUGCCUUACGGGGUAUGAACUGGUGCAGUCAAUUUCUCACCUUCUGGAGAACCGCGAUGUCCUUAAUUGGGUGCCGCGGGGAACCAGGACCUUUACUUUGAAAAAAUUAGAGUGUUUAAAGCAGGCAUUUUUGCUUGAAUACAUUUAGCAUGGAAUAAUAAAAUAGGACGGCAUGGUUCUAUUUUGUUGGUUUCUAGGACCACCGUAAUGA